rnacentral:lncRNA from 1 species
ACUACAAAAAAAUGACUAUAUUGUAUCACUUAAAUUGUAUCACAAAUUUAAGUGAUCUUAUUUUAAAUUACUUUUUAAUAAGUGAAGCAAAUAUAAAUAAUUUAACAUUAAUUACAUUACUGAUGCUAAUAUUAACUAAUUUUCAUCAAUUAUUUAAAACUGAUUCAAUUUCUAGUAGAUUGUAUCACUUUAAAAGAAAUUGAUGUAAAAUACAUAUUUAAAUCAUUUAAAUCCCCACACAUCAAAGAUCUCAACUUCAAAAAUC